UUCAUUACCAUUUACUUUAUUCAGCCCCACCUCCGCCUUGCCCUAACUCCUGACGUCACCGACCUGCCCACCCUAGUAGCCAUAGGUAGAGUCCUCCGUCAGUCAAAUUACGCCCCAACUCGAAGACCGAUAUCCUUUUCUGAUUGGUUCAAAUGGCGGCCUGAUCCUCCGACUAUUGGCUUCCUCUACUUGUCCGUCAAGAAACCAAUUUCCAAGUCCGUCACUUCGGCUUUUUUUAAAUGAACGCGCAAAAGUAUCCUAAAAGGGAUUGGCUAGUAUUCGUAGAUGGCCAAGCCCCGAGUCUGCGGACCCUGCAGUUCUGACCUCUACACUUCGCGGAGAACGAACACCAUAAAGAAACCAACGGGCAGUCCAGUUAUAGGUGGAAAUUGGUCCCACCCGGAGUGGAGAGAGCCGGCUUCUGAUUGGCCAGAGAAGUGCCCCUAGACCCUCAUUGGAAGAAGUGGCCGCCUCUCUUUGGCAUAGAGCUGUGAAGGAAGAGCUCAGAAAGGCAACACCAUUCUUGGGCUGAGGUCCUCGAUGUGCAUAGAAAGGAGAAAGGUGGAUGAGCACCAGCAUGCCACAGCCAUGAGGUCUGUCAGAAUAUUUUGGGCCAGAAGGCUGAAGACAAUGCUCCAACUUCCUGACUUACUGGUGCUAUAUAGAAAAGUACUUCCAUCGCGGUUGUGCGCAUGGCAGAGCAUGCUUGUGGAGGUCAGAGGAUCCCUUGUGGAAUCGGCUCCCCCCUUCCAUUUCUACAUGGGCUCCAGGGAUCAGACUUACACCAUCAGGCUUGCGAGACACUUGACCUGCUGAGCCAUCUUGCCGCUCCUCAAUUAGAAUUUUCAAUGAAAAUAAACUCUUGACCAUUGUGAGGG
rnacentral:lncRNA from 1 species